rnacentral:tRNA from 1 species
GUUUCUGUAGUGUAGUGGUUAUCACGUGCGCCUCACACGCGCAAGAUCGCUGGUUCGAACCCGGCCAGAAACA